UAGUGGGAAGGUGUUGGGUAUUUUUGGAAUAAAAGAAAAUAGUGGGGAAGUGUAGAAUAUAUUUGAAAUAAAUUAAAAUAGUGAGGAGGUGCAAGACCCAUUUGGAGAGGUGGAGGGAGCAACACCCUAAGAAAGCUCUAUGGGUCAAGACUAGCCCAUGGACUUUUUUUUUAAACAAAAUAUUUAUUUUGAACACAAGAAAAAAGGGGUUGCUCCCUCCACCUCCCCCUUUCCAUCCUCCACCUCCC
rnacentral:lncRNA from 1 species